CUACUGCAAGAAUUAUCUAAAUCAUGGUCAUCGUCAUCCUCUUCGUUGCCUGUGGGUGGUUCUAGAACACUUAAAGCAUUCCUUUGUAGCUUAACUUCCACUCCAUUCUUCAGAACCUAGAACUCCAUAAAUAUGGUGUCUUAUUUAUAUAU